rnacentral:rRNA from 1 species
UACGUAGGGUGCAAGCGUUGUCCGGAAUUAUUGGGCGUAAAGAGCUCGUAGGCGGUUUGUCGCGUCUGCUGUGAAAAACCCGAGGCUCAACCUCGGGCCCUGCAGUGGGUACGGGCAAACUAGAGUGCGGUAGGGGAGAAUGGAAUUCCUGGUGUAGCGGUGGAAUGCGCAGAUAUCAGGAGGAACACCGAUGGCGAAGGCAGUUCUCUGGGCCGUAACUGACGCUGAGGAGCGAAAGCGUGGGGAGCGAACAGG